rnacentral:rRNA from 1 species
AGUCGACCGAUGAAGCCCAGCUUGCUGGGUGGAUUAGUGGCGAACGGGUGAGUAACACGUGAGCAACCUGCCCCUGACUCUGGGAUAAGCGCUGGAAACGGCGUCUAAUACUGGAUACGAGUAGCGAUCGCAUGGUCAGUUACUGGAAAGAUUUUUUGGUUGGGGAUGGGCUCGCGGCCUAUCAGCUUGUUGGUGAGGUAAUGGCUCACCAAGGCGUCGACGGGUAGCCGGCCUGAGAGGGUGACCGGCCACACUGGGACUGAGACACGGCCCAGACUCCUACGGGAGGCAGCAGUGGGGAAUAUUGCACAAUGGGCGGAAGCCUGAUGCAGCAACGCCGCGUGAGGGAUGACGGCCUUCGGGUUGUAAACCUCUUUUAGCAGGGAAGAAGCGAGAGUGACGGUACCUGCAGAAAAAGCGCCGGCUAACUACGUGCCAGCAGCCGCGGUAAUACGUAGGGCGCAAGCGUUAUCCGGAAUUAUUGGGCGUAAAGAGCUCGUAGGCGGUUUGUCGCGUCUGCUGUGAAAUCCCGAGGCUCAACCUCGGGCCUGCAGUGGGUACGGGCAGACUAGAGUGCGGUAGGGGAGAUUGGAAUUCCUGGUGUAGCGGUGGAAUGCGCAGAUAUCAGGAGGAACACCGAUGGCGAAGGCAGAUCUCUGGGCCGUAACUGACGCUGAGGAGCGAAAGGGUGGGGAGCAAACAGGCUUAGAUACCCUGGUAGUCCACCCCGUAAACGUUGGGAACUAGUUGUGGGGUCCAUUCCACGGAUUCCGUGACGCAGCUAACGCAUUAAGUUCCCCGCCUGGGGAGUACGGCCGCAAGGCUAAAACUCAAAGGAAUUGACGGGGACCCGCACAAGCGGCGGAGCAUGCGGAUUAAUUCGAUGCAACGCGAAGAACCUUA